CGGCCGUCUGAAAGACACAAAAGCUCCGUCAACUCUCAUGCAAGUAAAGACGAUCAAAUGUGAACAGCAAAGAUUGAACAGAGUGAAGUGACUGUAAGCAUGGAAGGAUUCCAAAUGUCACCCCGUGCCUAGGAAGGAUGAAUAAGAUUGUCAGAAAAUCAAUCGAUGAGUUUCCUUGAGCAUGCAACGAGCAGCAGGGGAUGAACUAAACGUGCCUCAGGAAGCAAGAUGCCCCGAGCUUUGUGCUAUCAGGAGAGAUGAAGCCCAUCUGAAGUCAGGCUUCAUGACCCAAGAAAUCACACUGCUGUUGUCUCAUUGCUCUCUCAAGAUACACCAUCCUCAGGUCCUUACUGCUAACAGACUUACCUGCACCUUCACCUCCUGGUGACUGAGCAGAGGAACUAAAUGAGGGACGAUGCCUGAGUCAAUGACCAUCUGAAUCUGCUCAUUGCCAGCAUCAGUCAGGUAAGAGAGGGCCCAGACAGUGUCUACCAGUAU